rnacentral:rRNA from 1 species
GAUGAACGCUGGCGGCGUGCUUAACACAUGCAAGUCGAACGGUGAACACGGAGCUUGCUCUGUGGGAUCAGUGGCGAACGGGUGAGUAACACGUGAGCAACCUGCCCCUGACUCUGGGAUAAGCGCUGGAAACGGCGUCUAAUACUGGAUAUGUGACGUGACCGCAUGGUCUGCGUUUGGAAAGAUUUUUCGGUUGGGGAUGGGCUCGCGGCCUAUCAGCUUGUUGGUGAGGUAAUGGCUCACCAAGGCGUCGACGGGUAGCCGGCCUGAGAGGGUGACCGGCCACACUGGGACUGAGACACGGCCCAGACGCCUACGGGAGGCAGCAGUGGGGAAUAUUGCACAAUGGGCGCAAGCCGGAUGCAGCAACGCCGCGUGAGGGAUGACGGCCUUCGGGUUGUAAACCUCUUUUAGCAGGGAAGAAGCGAAAGUGACGGUACCUGCAGAAAAAGCGCCGGCUAACUACGUG